rnacentral:rRNA from 1 species
UACAGAGGCCUCAAGCGUUAGGCGGAAUCACUGGGCUUAAAGCGCGUGUAGGUGGACUUUUAAGUGCUUUGUGAAAUCCCACGGCUCAACCGUGGAACUGCUGGGCAUACUGGAAGUCUUGGGCCAUCUAGGGGGCAACCGGAACAAGCGGUGGAGCGGUGAAAUGCGUAGAUAUCGCUUGGAACGCCAAAGGUGAAGACAGGUUGCUGGAGAUGUGCCGACACUGAGACGCGAAAGCCAGGGGAGCAAACGGGG